UGCCAGACUCCUACGGGAGGCAGCAGUGAGGAAUAUUGGUCAAUGGGCUUACGCCUGAACCAGCCAAGUCGCGUGAGGGAAGACUGCCCUAUGGGUUGUAAACCUCUUUUGUCAGGGAGCAACGCCGGCUACGUGUAGCCGGACUGAGAGUACCUGAAGAAAAAGCAUCGGCUAACUCCGUGCCAGCAGCCGCGGUAAUACGGAGGAUGCGAGCGUUAUCCGGAUUUAUUGGGUUUAAAGGGUGCGUAGGCGGUCCGUUAAGUCAGCGUAAAAAUGGCGGGGCUCAACCCCGUCGAGCCGUUGAAACUGGCAGACUUGAGUUGGCGAGAAGUACGCGGAAUGCGCGGUGUAGCGGUGAAAUGCAUAGAUAUCGCGCAGAACUCCGAUUGCGAAGGCAGCGUACCGGCGCCAGACUGACGCUGAGGCACGAAAGCGUGGGGAUCGAACAGGAUUAGAUACCCGUGUA
rnacentral:rRNA from 1 species